rnacentral:rRNA from 1 species
ACUGGCGGACGGGUGAGGAACACGUGGGUAACCUGCCCCUUUGCGGGGGACAACCACGCGAAAGCGUGGCUAAUCCCGCAUACGCUCGUUUCGCAAGAGACGAGGAAAGCACUUCGGUGCGCAGAGGGAGGGGCCUGCGGCCCAUCAGGUAGUUGGCGGGGUAACGGCCCACCAAGCCGGUGACGGGUCCCUGGUCUGAGAGGACGACCAGGCAGACUGGGACUGAGACACGGCCCAGACUCCUACGGGAGGCAGCAGCAAGGAAUUUUCCCCAUUGGGCGCAAGCCUGAGGGAGCAACGCCGCGUGGAGGACGACGGCCUUCGGGUUGUAAACUCCUUUUCGGGGGGAAGAUACAGACGGUACCCCCGGAAUAAGCCCCGGCUAACUCCGUGCCAGCAGCCGCGGUAAUACG